CAGAUUGCAGGCUGCAACUCGCCUGCAUGAAGUCGGAAUUGCUAGUAAUCGUAGGUCAGCAUACUACGGUGAAUACGUUCCCGGGCCUUGUACACACCGCCCGUCAAACCAUGAGAGUUGGCAACACCCGAAGUCGGUAGUCUAACCGCAAGGAGGACGCCGCCGAAGGUGGGGUUGAUGAUUGGGGUUAAGUCGUAACAAGGUAAC
rnacentral:rRNA from 1 species